rnacentral:rRNA from 1 species
UACGUAGGGGGCAAGCGUUGUCCGGAUUUAUUGGGCGUAAAGAGCGUGUAGGCGGCCUGAAAGGUCAGCUGUGAAAACUCGAGGCUCAACCUCGAGACGUCGGUUGAAACCAUCUGGCUAGAGUCCGGAAGAGGAGUGUGGAAUUCCCGGUGUAGCGGUGAAAUGCGCAGAUAUCGGGAAGAACACCCGUGGCGAAGGCGGGUCUCUGGGCCGAUACUGACACUGAGAAGCGAAAGCGUGGGGAGCGAACAGG